UGUAUAUAUUUACCAAAAUAACAAAAUUCAUAGCUCUUUUGAGAUCUUGUGUUUCAGAAUAAUAAUAAUAAUAAUAAAAGGAACACACUUGUUUGAAUAAUUAAAAGAAAAAUGAAAGGAGAACAGGAGUGAGUCAGGUUGAGUCAGCUGUUUUUGAGCUCCCACAGGACAGGAAGAAAGCUUUUUAGCAGGAAAUAUAAGGAAGGAGAGAGACAGAGCAGCAACACGAGAAGGAAAGUGAAAGAGGUUACUAAACAUGGUUCAAUUACAAUUUUUUGUUUUUUCAAAUACCGUAUAUUUCUGAGUAUAAAUCGUGGUUUUUCGGAUCGUUUGGCAAGGGGUUGUAGUUUUCCACUAACAACCGCUAGGGGGCACUGUAGGUGCGGCUGACGGCAGCGCAGAAGAAGAAGUGCCGUUCGAAACAAACAUGGCGGAGAAUCUGAUCCCUUUUCUCCUCAACUUCAGGAUAUUUUUCUUAUUUGCAUCAAGAUAUUAAUAUUUUUUAUUUUAUUUUUUCCUUCUUCUGACUAAUGCGGCACAGGAAGUCAUCAAAGUGGGUCACAGAAACGUGGAAGUACCACUAAAAGACUGACUUCUGCUAGAGAAGUCUGGUCCGACUUAUACUCCAGAAAAUACGUACUUUUUGAAGCUCUGCACGGUCACCGUGGCAACCAAAAGAUCAGCGCUCUUGUGGAAGCAUCUUUGAAACAGGAGCAGAGAGACGGCGAGAGGGAGAACAAGACGCUGCCCAAACCUCCUCCACCAGAUGGUUAAAUGUCAGUAAAAACCACAUCACCAUGACCGCUAAUUCUCCCCAGCAGAAGCGGUUCAUGUCCGGGGAAGGAAGCACGAAUCAAUCCAGUGACUCACUGUGCUGACACUUCAGUAGGCAACCAAAGAGUUUUAAAGCUUAGAAAUAUUUGGCAUAAUUUCUUGUCAGAAAUUAGAUGUGAAGCUUGAAGUUACAGGUUUAUGCAGCGAAAACAAAAUUACCCAAAAAAUUGACUUUUUUUCCCCUUCAGCUGACUGUGAGAUCUCUACAGCAAAAAAAAAAAUAAACCAAGAAACUUCAUAAUGUCCUCCGCAAAAGACCUUAGUCACAUGCACUAGUACGGGGUUAAAGUAUGGGUACUCUGGGUUUUUGAAAGUUAUUUAAGGUUUAAGUUGAUUUAGUUUGGAAUAAUAUUCCUGCCUGUUUUUAUUAUUCAGUAUAAUGUUAAAAAGUUACAGUUUUUAAGUUUGAAAAAUUGGCAUUCU